rnacentral:tmRNA from 1 species
GGGGGCGUACCGGUUUCGACGGGAACACCUCGAUUCAAGGUUGCGUGCCGUGGGUCGCCAUAAACCACGUAAAUCCUUGUGGCAAACUGAUAAUCGCCAACGAUUAUCGCUACGCUGUCGCCGCCUAACUAGCGGACCAGCCGUCCGCCUCUCCGUUUCCGCUGGAGUGGAUCGGGCGUAAUUGACGCGGGAUAGCCGAAGGGAGGGCCGACUGGCCCCGAGGCGAAAUUAAAAAGCCGGCUGGCGCCACCCAUGCCUGUCUCUGGGCACGGGGUGGGGCGAGACAAAAAAACAGAGACUACGCCCGUAGUAGCCUUGGGUCCGGAUUUUCGGACAGGGGUUCGACUCCCCUCGCCUCCACCA